rnacentral:rRNA from 1 species
UGGCCCUUACGGCCAGGGCUACACACGUGCUACAAUGGGGUAUACAAAGAGCAGCGAUACCGCGAGGUGGAGCAAAUCUCAUAAAAUAUCUCCCAGUUCGGAUUGUACUCUGCAACUCGAGUGCAUGAAGUUGGAAUCGCUAGUAAUCGUAGAUCAGCAAUGCUACGGUGAAUACGUUCCCGGGUCUUGUACACACCGCCCGUCACACCAUGGGAGUUGAUUUCACCCGAAGCGGGGAAGCUAAACUGGCUACCCUCCACGGUGGAAUCAGC